UGGGGAAUUUUGGACAAUGGGGGCAACCCUGAUCCAGCAAUGCCGCGUGUGUGAAGAAGGCCUUCGGGUUGUAAAGCACUUUUGUCCGGAAAGAAAACGCCGUGGUUAAUACCCGUGGCGGAUGACGGUACCGGAAGAAUAAGCACCGGCUAACUACGUGCCAGCAGCCGCGGUAAUACGUAGGGUGCAAGCGUUAAUCGGAAUUACUGGGCGUAAAGCGUGCGCAGGCGGUCCGCUAAGACAGAUGUGAAAUCCCCGGGCUUAACCUGGGAACUGCAUUUGUGACUGGCGGGCUAGAGUAUGGCAGAGGGGGUGAAUCACGUGUAGCAGUGAAAUGCGUAAGAUGUGGAGGAAUACCGAUGGCGAAGGCAGCCCCCUGGGCCAAUACUGACGCCUCAUGCACGAAAGCGUGGGGAG
rnacentral:rRNA from 1 species